rnacentral:ncRNA from 1 species
UGCCAACAUCAAGAGAAGAGUAAAACUCUCGCCAACCUGCUGCUCCAGUAAGGUGGUACAAAAAGAUGAGGUCAUUCGACAAUGAUAGGAGUGUCA